CAGGUCCGUGAAUCACUAUCAGGAAAGCUGUCAUUAAAAAGUUUGACUCGUCCAAAGAGCACUAGUGCGGAAACAUUUUCAAGUAGACUGGGUUUCUUCCAAAGGAAGCUGAGGAAAAAUGUGUACAACACGUCUGACCACAGUGCAGCUUCAUCCUCAAACCACUUCAGUGCCUCGGACUCAUAAACAUUCUUCAUUAACUACAUGUAACAAAGCCUUUCAUCUGCUGUGAUCUGCAUGUCAUCUCCAUAUCCUGUUAAUGUGUUUCUGUGAUAAAACUACUGUAAUUACUUUAAAAUUUGUGUUAAAAUUAGUUGUUGUAAUAUGAAAUG